GCUCUAAUGAAACGGGAUACAACCCAAAUUUGAGAGGAAACAAACCAGUGACACCAGUAGGCCUUAAAGCAGCCCCCUAUAAAAACAGCGUCAAAGCAAUAAGACAAAAAUCCAACAAAAAUCACACACCUCCAAAACAAACUAACGCAACUCUAUACUAAUAGAAGAUAUAAUGCUAGAACUAAUAAUAAGAACCAAUCUCAAGACAUGUUCGUCAGUCAGAAAUAGACACACUACUGAUAGUUAUCAGGCACGAGUAGGCAAACACAUUCUCAGGCCUACACCACACUGUGACCCCAACACAGGCAUGUCACAAAUGAAAGAUAAAAAGCUAUAAAAGGAACUCGGCAAUCAACGAUCUCAACUGUUUACCAAAAACAUAGCCUUUAGCAAAACAAGUAUUAAAGGUGAUGCCUGCCCAGUGAAGUUUUUUAACGGCCGCGGUACCCUAACCGUGCAAAGGUAGCAUAAUCACUUGUCCACUAAUUAUGGACUGGCAUGAAAGGCCACAUGAAGAUCAAACUGUCUCUUAUAGCCAAUCAAUGAAACUGAUCUUACAGUCCAAAAGCUGUAAUACGCCCAUAAGACGAGAAGACCCUGUGAAACUUCAAAAACUUCUAUACAACACCACUAUAGAAUAUUUUCAGUUGGGGCGACUUUGGAAAAAACAAAACUUCCAAACAAACGGGGUGCACCACCACAUACAGGCAAACACGCCUAUCAUACGAUCCAGUAAAUCUGACAAAUGAACCAAGCUACUCCAGGGAUAACAGCGCUAUCUUCUUCAAGAGCCCAUAUCAAAAAGAAGGCUUACGACCUCGAUGUUGGAUCAGGGCACCCAAG
rnacentral:rRNA from 1 species